GACGGUCCAAUGAUCAUAAAAACAGUACUACCAAAUGAUCGCUACAUAGUAGUUGAUAUGAUGGGGUCACGUCGUCUCACUCGAAAAGCGACAUAUGAAAAUGUUAUUGCGGUUGAUCGUAUGCGACCCUGGGUACCAGCUGGUGGAGUUUCAUCUGGUGAGUCGGAUCUGAGCAGUGAUGAAGAAGGGGUAGUUCUGUCCGAUCCUGAUGCUGAAGAUGCUGAUCAACUCGAGACGAGUUGAUAGCAGGAUGACCGAAUGUAAGACCCUGUUUAUUUUCUAAAGAAUUGAAAUAUUUUUCUUAGUCAUUAAGAUGAAAUUUAUCGGUCUGACCGAAAAGAGGUCCAGGAUAUUUACAAAACUAAAGCUAGCUCAGCGGUACCGUAAGUAAUCAAAUACGGUUUACACUUAGCGUUUCCCCUCGGGAAUUAUUUUUAUGGGUUUCGACAAAAGAGUGAGAUAAAUAUUUGGUUUAUAAAAUUCAUUUGAGUUUUGGUCACUAAAGAGUGAAGUUAUUUAAUAAAAACAAUAAAGGGUGUUGCGACGUGAAAUAAGCUGUGUUGGUUUGGUGUAGUGUUUUACUACAAGAAAGGGUCUACACGUCACCAUCUCUACUUUGGAGUCGCCCAAGCGCCCAGUUGUUUUACAAG